CUUGGACCGCAGGGAGGGCAACCAAAUGGCAGAGGCGGUAACGGAGAGCAUCCCUGAACGGCCAGAAACGCGAAAUGCUGUCGGCCUUCCAGAGGCUGUUCCGAGUCUUAUUUGUGAUUGAAACAGUCUCAGAAUACGGAGUCCUGAUCUUCAUUUAUGGAUGGCCCUUUCUCCAGACCCUUGCGAUGCUCCUGAUCGGGACAGUGUCUUUCCACCUUUGGAUCCGCAGAAAUCGAGAGAGAAACUCAAGGAGCGGAAAGACUAGAUGCCGAUCCAAAAGGUGACCAGCCACCAAGUAAAGCACUGAUGGUUUCAGAAUGUGCCUAAACCUGCACCAGUGAGGCAAGUAUGCAAAAGGAGUCCCUUUCCGGGAUGGACACACUUCCCAUAGAGCCGUGUCACCCCGCACAGGGUUGCAACCAGGCUGGUCUCAAAUUCCCAACCUCAGGUGAUCUGCCCGCCUGGGCCUCCCAAAGUGUUGGGAUUACAGGCAUGAGCCACUGCACCCGGCCUCAGACUGGGAUCUGAAAUUAGAGA
rnacentral:lncRNA from 1 species